rnacentral:rRNA from 1 species
AGCCAGCACAUGGGAUGAGAACGGCCAGCUCUACGGGUUGAGCAUGGGGCUAUUGGAAAGGGCGCAGCCCGUCAGCAAGCCGCUGUGUGAAGAUGCUGAGGUUCUAAAGCAUUUUCAUAAAGACAAAAGCCUAGGAUAAUACCCCUGGGUUUUUAAUUAAACUAUAAAAAAAACACCGGCUAAAUUCCGUGCCAGCAGCCGCGGUAAUAACGGAAGGUUGCAAGCGUUAAUUCGGAAUUAACUGGGCGUAAAGCGCACGUAAGGCGGCUUUGUUAAAGUCGGUAUGUGAAAAGCCCCGGGCUUCAACCUGGGAACUUGCAUUUCGAUUACUGGCAGGCUAGAGUAUAGAAAUGGCAAGUGGAAUCCCGGGUGUAGCGGUGAAAUGCGUAGAUAUCCGGAGGAACAUCAGUGGCGAAAGCGACUCGCUGGUCUAAUACUGACGCUGAGGUGCGAAAGCGUGGGGAGCAAACGGGAU